rnacentral:rRNA from 1 species
GCAACUCGACUACAUGAAGCUGGAAUCGCUAGUAAUCGCAAAUCAGAAUGUUGCGGUGAAUACGUUCCCGGGUCUUGUACACACCGCCCGUCACACCAUGGGAGUCGGAAAUGCCCGAAGUCUGUGACCCAACGAAAGAGGGAGCAGCCGAAGGCAGGUCUGAUAACUGGGGUGAAGUCGUAACAAGGUAUC